CCCCUAGAUGUUCUGGGCCGCGCGCGCUACACUGAACAGUUCAACAAGUCUUAACCUUGGCCGAUAGGUCUGGGUAAUCUUUGAACGCUGUUCGUGAUUGGGAUAGACCUUUGCAAUUAUGGGUCUUCAACGAGGAAUUCCUAGUAAACGCAAGUCAUCAGCUUGCAUUGAUUACGUCCCUGCCCUUUGUACACACCGCCCGUCGCACCUACCGAUUGAAUGGUCCGGUGAAAUCUCGGGACGGCGGCUUGGUCGCUUGCGUCCGACUGCUGAAACUUGAUUAAACCAUAUCAUUUAGAGGAAGGUGAAGUCGUAACA
rnacentral:rRNA from 1 species